CUCUAUGAUGUCAUUAAUACUGAUUGCCAUACUAGAGAUUUUUGUCACUAAAUAGAUUCACAUGUUAGCAAUUGUGUAGACUUUGACUUUAAAGGUCAAUCAAGCUACUUUUUAGAUACAAAUAUGAUAUGAAUUUUGUUAGACAUCAGUUUGUAGUUUGUACUCAUGCAUCCUAGAAUAGGAUCCACAUACAAUUUUUGUUAGGAUGCAAUCAGAUAGGAGGGUAUAGUGGAUUGGGUAACGGGUCAAACACGGUUGUGUUACAAAAAGUCAUUUUAGAGAAAUAUUUUUGAAAGUUUUUUAGACCAACGAGUUUCGUUCACAAAUUUGGGUAUUGAUUUCGAGUGGAAUAGUUGGUGUCCAAUCAAGAUUAAUUUCUUGGUUUGGAGGCUGAUUCAAGACCGGAUUCCUACUGCGGUCGCUCUUGAAAGAAGAAAUGUUUAUUUGCCUUGCACCCUGUGUAAGCUAUGCAAUGAAGACGAAGAAACGGCACUCCAUACAAAUAUGUGUACAAAGAUUUAAAAACAAUAUAAAGCAAGAUUAGCUAUUGAUAUAAAGGAAAGAAAGGAUAUCAAAGUCUUAAAGAUGUCUUACCCAAGCAAAUCAUGCUUUUCAUUGCCAUUAAAUUUAAUGCACUCUAUCCUGAUAUGUAUUUUGUGAGACUGAAAGGGAUCAUAAUAUUGUUGGACUAAUCAUGUUUGUUUUGCAUAUGAAACGAGUUGGUGCAAAAGGAAACUUCGCGUACAAGGGUCUACAAUUCGAAUUUGGUUGAGUCUUUGAGGGUAAACAGCUGGCGGAGUUGCUCGAUGAAGAUCCAUCUUUGGUGUCAAAGAGACAAGAAAUAGCCAAACACUUGAAAUGUAAAAGGCAUCAAACGAUGAGAUCAAUGCAGUAGCAUGAGUACCAUAUCCCAAAUAAACACAGGUCUCACAAAAGGUUCACAUACGGAGAAGCGAAAAUUAUUACGUUGAUCAGCGCAUUAAUUUCCGGGGUGUUAAUAAGCAUGGGCCUUAUGUUUGUAUUUUGGGGAAAACGGAUAAAGAAUUUCGUGCCAUGUGAAAUACUGUUGACAAGAACAUCCAGUGUAGUUGCUUCCGUGGUAACCCAGCAACAUGCAUUCUUGAAAGUUCGAACGGGUCAGGAGCGUCGAAACAGAGGAAAAUAAUUGUAUAUGGGGUAUUCCUCAAAACAUGUUGGAGAAUUUAGCAAUGCAGAAACGAUAAAGUGUUUAAAGGAGUGGCUACUUUAGUUAGCAAGGUGGUGGAGGAAGUAAAUGAAACAUCGUAUGCUUGGAUCCAGCACAUGUCAAAGAUUAUGAGUAUUUCGUGGAGUGAUUGGCGCAACUUUAAUUUAUCGUUUAAUGUCAUUUUUUUGUAUUCUUUUUGUGAUGUAACUCUGCUAGACUAUGUUUUGUUCUUGCUGUUCAGGUCUCCCUUUGCUCCUUGCUAAGUGGAUGUGUUUGGCUGGAUUAAUAAAGGUUUUCUUUGUUGUUUUUCUUUUA